rnacentral:rRNA from 1 species
AUUGAACGCUGGCGGCAGGCCUAACACAUGCAAGUCGGACGGUAGCACAGGGGAGCUUGCUCCUCGGGUGACGAGUGGCGGACGGGUGAGUAAUGUCUGGGGAUCUGCCCGAUAGAGGGGGAUAACCACUGGAAACGGUGGCUAAUACCGCAUAAUGUCGCAAGACCAAAGAGGGGGACCUUCGGGCCUCUCACUAUCGGAUGAACCCAGAUGGGAUUAGCUAGUAGGCGGGGUAACGGCCCACCUAGGCGACGAUCCCUAGCGGGUCUGAGAGGAUGACCAGCCACACUGGAACUGAGACACGGUCCAGACUCCUACGGGAGGCAGCAGUGGGGAAUGUUGCACAAUGGGCGCAAGCCUGAUGCAGCCAUGCCGCGUGUAUGAAGAAGGCCUUCGGGUUGUAAAGUACUUUCAGCGGGGAGGAAGGCGAUGUGGUUAAUAACCGCGUCGAUUGACGUUACCCGCAGAAGAAGCACCGGCUAACUCCGUGCCAGCAGCCGCCGUAA